rnacentral:rRNA from 1 species
CACGUAGGGGGCAAGCGUUGUCCGGAUUUAUUGGGCGUAAAGAGCUCGUAGGCGGCUCAGUAAGUCAGGUGUGAAACCUCCAGGCUCAACCUGGAGACGCCACCUGAUACUGCUGUGGCUAGAGUCCGGUAGGGGAGCGUGGAAUUCCGUGGUGUAGCGGUGAAAUGCGCAGAUAUCAGGAGGAACACCAGCGGCGGAAGGCGGCGCUCUGGGCCGGAACUGACGCUGGAGGAAGCGAAAGCGUCGGGUAGCAAACAGG